rnacentral:rRNA from 1 species
GUCCUAGCCGUAAACGGUGCACGUUUGCUGUAAAAGGAAUCGACCCCUUUUUGUGGCGUAGCUAACGCGUUAAACGUGCCGCCUGGGAAGUACGGUCGCAAGAUUAAAACUAAAAGAAAUUGACGGGGGCCUGCACAAGCGGUGGAGUAUGUGGCUCAAUUCGAUGCAACGCGAAGAACCUUACCUGGCCUUGACAUGCAUAUAGUAGAAGGGUGAAAGCCUGACGAGGUAGCAAUACCAGUAUGCACAGGUGCUGCAUGGCUGUCGU